UAGUGAGUUUGAUCCUGGCUCAGAACGAACGCUGGCGGCAUGCCUAACACAUGCAAGUCGAACGCAAGUAGAAAUACUUGAGUGGCGGACGGGUGAGUAACGCGUGAGAAUCUGCCUUCUGGUCGGGGACAACCACUGGAAACGGUGGCUAAUACCGGAUAUGCCUAUGGGUGAAAGAUUAAUUGCCAGAAGAAGAGCUCGCGUCUGAUUAGCUAGUUGGUGAGGUAAAGGCUCACCAAGGCCACGAUCAGUAGCUGGUCUGAGAGGACGACCAGCCACACUGGAACUGAGACACGGCCAGACUCCUACGGGAGGCAGCAGUGGGGAAUAUUGGACAAUGGGCGCAAGCCUGAUCCAGCAAUGCCCGCGUGAGUGAUGAAAGGCCUUAGGGUUGUAAAGCUCUUUUACCCGGGAUGAUAAUGACAGUACCGGGGAGAAUAAGCCCCAGCUAACUCCGUGCCAGCAGCCGCGGUAAUCUGAUGGCGCGAGGGGAGC
rnacentral:rRNA from 1 species